rfam:Oryza punctata chromosome 2, whole genome shotgun sequence.
AAAGAACACAGUUUUGCGUUUUUGUGUCUAACAUUUGACCGUCCGUCUUAUUUGAAAAAAAAUAUGAUUGGUAUUUUCAUUGUUAUUAGAUGAUAAAACAUGAAUAGUACUUUAAGCGUGACUAUUUUUUUAAUUUUUUCAUAAAUUUUUCAAAUAAGACGGAUGGUCAAACGUUGGAUACGGAAACCCACAGCUGCACUUAAA